UUCAAAAUAAUAUAACCAUAGAUAAUAUAAACCAUAGAAUAGACACCUUCAAAGAUGUCGGGUGACAGAAUUUACAGAGAUAUAACCUUAACCCUAACCCCUAAUGUGUCAAAACAAGGAUUGUCAACAGGAAGCAAGAACAAUGUAAGAAGACUCGUUAAGAAUAGGAACAAGAACAAGAUUACCAAUUAAAAAGCCUGAUAGUCAACUCAGAAAAGGAAACAGGCAAGAAAAGCACACUGUCAACCUGUUAUGACAGAACUAUACAA